AGCUCCAAUAGCGUAUAUUUAAGUUGUUGCAGUUAAAAAGCUCGUAGUUGGAUUUUGGUUAAGAGGGCGCGGUCGGCCGUUUGGUCUGUACUGCGUUGUCUUGACUUCCUGAUGAGGACAUGCUCUUGGUUAACGCUGAGACAUGGAGUCAUCGUGGUUACUUUGAAAAAAUUAGAGUGUUCAAAGCGGGCUUACGCUUGAAUAUAUUAGCAUGGAAUAACACUAUAGGACUCCUGUCCUAUCUCGUUGGUCUCGGGAUGGGAGUAAUGAUUAAGAGGAACAGUUGGGGGCAUUCGUAUUUCAUUGUCAGAGGUGAAAUUCUUGGAUUUAUGAAAGACGAACUUCUGCGAAAGCAUUUGCCAAGGAUGUUUUCAUUA
rnacentral:rRNA from 3 species